AACGCGAAGAACCUUACCGAGGCUUGACAUCCUGAGAAGGUCCCUGAAAGGGGACUGUGCCUUCGGGAACUCAGUGACAGGUGCUGCAUGGCCGUCGUCAGCUCGUGUCGUGAGAUGUUUGGUUAAGUCCAUCAACGAGCGCAACCCUUUUAGUUAGUUGCUUUUUCUAGCUAGACUGCCCUGGUAACAGGGAGGAAGGAGGGGAUGAUGUCAGGUCAGUAUUGCCCUUACGCCUCGGGCUACAAACACGCUACAAUGGCCGGUACAAAGGGCUGCCAAGUCGCGAGACGGAGCAAAUCCCAUCAAAGCCGGUCUCAGUUCGGAUUGUAGGCUGAAACCCGCCUGCAUGAAGUUGGAAUCGCUAGUAACGGUAGGUCAGCAUUACUACCGUGAAUACGUUCCCGGGCCUUGUACACACCGCGUGUCU
rnacentral:rRNA from 1 species